rnacentral:rRNA from 1 species
CCAGCUCCAAUAGCGUAUAUUAAAGUUGUUGCAGUUAAAAAGCUCGUAGUUGAAUUUUGGAUCUGCUGCAGUGGUCAGCCUUAACGGUUUGUACUGCUUUGCUGGCGGAUCUUUUACCUUCUAGGGAGCCUUCAUGCUCUUAAUUGAGUGUGAUGGGGAUCUAGAACUUUUACUGUGAAAAAAUUAGAGUGUUCAAAGCAGGCAUUACGCUUGAAUACAUUAGCAUGGAAUAAUAAAAUAGGACUUUGGUUCUAUUUUGUUGGUUUCUAGGACCGAAGUAAUGGUUAAUAGGGAUAGUUGGGGGCAUUAGUAUUUAAUUGUCAGAGGUGAAAUUCUUGGAUUUAUGAAAGACUAACUUCUGCGAAAGCAUUUGCCAAGGAUGUUUUCA